rnacentral:lncRNA from 1 species
AUUAGGUCUGAUUAAAGUUUGGGGUAGGGGAGGAAGGAAAUGCUGCUCAGAGAAGCCAAGCAACUUGCCAAGGUCACACAGCUUUUCAUAGGCAGAGCUGGAGGAUUUCAUAAGAUGCUACAUUCAGGUUUGCAGAAAGAUAUUCUAUGCUUAAUUCUUAUAUCCUCAGGAGAAACAUCUGUCUUGCUAUAAUUAGUCUACAUCAAGGUCAGCAGCACCAUAGAGUGUCAUAUGUAAAAGAAAAACUAAGUCUGGUAGAGAAGGAAGUUUUCAAGUGUUAAAAGGAAUAUGAGAAAUGAAAGAAAACAUCUGUUCCUCUGUCUAAGCUAACUGAGGCCAUGUUGACUUGAAGAGCAGGAGACUGUACCUGCACCCUGAUGAGGAUACAGAGGAAGACUUCAGUCAGCCUAUAUCACCAAUUCACCAUGCCCACUCAGAGAAUUGCUGAGUUCCAGAAAACCACUCUUCCUGAAAAUCUGGAAACAAUAUUCUCUGUGGCAUUUAUCCUCAUCAAGGAAGGUCUCUCUGGGCUUUCAUAAAGAGUUUACCUCAAUCCAGCUGCAACUUCAUUAAAUGGAGGACUGAGUUUCCAACAAGAAAAGGUCAACAUUUCCAUUUGGGCAUUCAAACAUCUCCAAGAUGGGCUUGAGGCUUUAGUGUUCUAUUGAUUCAGCCAUCUCCAUGCUGAGCACAGAACUUUGCCCAGAAUAGAUGGGCUGUGUCAAUCAAAGCCCACCAGUGAGGCUAUUUAUUUUCAGUUUGAUUCACAGGGCUAUCAAAUAUUGAAACUGAAGGGGAUCAAGGUAAUUCUACUUCAGUUUAAAUUUGCAAAUGGAACUUUCACAACCGAUACAUUACUGAAGCUGAAAUUCAUGAGGAACUCUUUGAAAUGACAAGGUUUUCUCCUGCUUUCAUUUGGCCUGUGUUUACCAAACACUCACGAAAUACAAAAACACUAAAGUAGGGUCUCCAGAGGAGAAGCUGACUCUAAAUUAAAAAAAAAAAUUGUAAUUAUGUGCCAAGUGACAUAGAAAUAUAAAGUACUGCUGAUCAAGGAGGGAGUCUAUGGUUUGGAACAUAACUGAAAUUGGUGGCAUUUGUUCAUGCAGAGAUAGAAAAUACUCUCCUGAUAGAGGGAACAGUCCAUCUGGUAGUUAAGUUUACCUAAAUUAUGUAAGUAAUUAAUGAUAGCAACUUCUCAAAUGAAUGU